CACAAGGUAUUGGUAUUACCU
rnacentral:miRNA from 3 species